rnacentral:rRNA from 1 species
GACGUAGGAGGCGAGCGCUAUCCGGAUUCACUGGGUGUAAAGCGCGUGCAGGUGGUCUCGUAAGUUGGACGUAAAAUCUCCUGGCUCAACUGGGAGGGGCCGUUCAAUACUGCGGGGCUAGAGGGCAGGAGAGGGAGGUGGAAUUCCCGGUGUAGUGGUGAAAUGCGUAGAUAUCGGGAGGAACACCAGUGGCGAAAGCGGCCUCCUGGCCUGCUCCUGACACUAAGACGCGAAAGCUAGGGGAGCGAACGGG